GCGUUCAUUUCAGCAGCACAUACACUAAAAAUUGGAACAAAAGAGAGAUUACCAUGGCUCUGUGGAUGGAUGACAUGCAAAUUCAUGAAGUAUUCCAUGUUUUU